rnacentral:rRNA from 1 species
AUUGAACGCUGGCGGCAGGCCUAACACAUGCAAGUCGAGCGGAUGAGAGGAGCUUGCUUCUCGAUUCAGCGGCGGACGGGUGAGUAAUGCCUAGGAAUCUGCCUGGUAGUGGGGGACAACGUUUCGAAAGGAACGCUAAUACCGCAUACGUCCUACGGGAGAAAGCAGGGGACCUUCGGGCCUUGCGCUAUCAGAUGAGCCCAGGUCGGAUUAGCUAGUUGGUUGGGUAAUGGCUCACCAAGGCGACGAUCCGUAACUGGUCUGAGAGGAUGAUCAGUCACACUGGAACUGAGACACGGUCCAGACUCCUACGGGAGGCAGCAGUGGGGAAUAUUGGACAAUGGGCGAAAGCCUGAUCCAGCCAUGCCGCGUGUGUGAAGAAGGUCUUCGGAUUGUAAAGCACUUUAAGUUGGGAGGAAGGGUUGUAGAUUAAUACUCUGCAAUUUUGACGUUACCGACAGAAUAAGCACCGGCUAACUCUGUGCCAGCCGCCGCCGUAAAAC